rnacentral:lncRNA from 1 species
UUUCUUGUUGUUUCUAGUAUUUUCUCCUUAACCUGGGAACUAUGGAACUUAGCAAUGAUAUUUUUAUGCAUUUUGAUCUUUGGGUCUUUUUAAGAUGGUGAUGAGUUGACUUUUUCAAUUUCUGUUUUACCUCUAAUUUUAGGAUUUUUAGACCAUUUUCCUUGAUGAUUUCUUGGAGUGUGGUAUCUAAAAUCUUUUUUAUAAUAACUUUUCUUGGAGUCUAACUAUUCUUAUACUGUCUCUCUUUGAUCUGUUUUCCAGGUCAGAUGUUUCUGUAAUAAGAGGUUUCAUAUUCUCUUCUUUUUUUCAUUCUUUUUAUUUUACCUUAUUAUUUCUUGUUGUCUUAGAAAUAAUCAGCUUUCCCUUAUCCAAUUCUAGUUCUUAACAAAUUAUUUUGUCUCAUGAGUUUCUAGAUCUCUUUUUCCAUUUGAGUGAUCUUUCAAAAUUUUGUUGAUUUUAUUGCAUUGUUCUUAUUUUUCCUAAUUUUUCCUCAGCCUCUCUCAUUUGGUUUUUGAUGUCUUUUUAAAACUCUUUCAAAAGAUCUUUUUGAGUUUGUGACCAUUUAUAUUUCUCUCUUGUUUUUGAAGUAGUUUUUACUCCACUGUUCUCUGAAUUUGAACCCAUGUCUUCUCUGCCCCCAUAAUAGCUAUCAAGAGUUGGGUUCUUUCCCCUUUGCUUAAUCAUUUUUUAAAUUUUAGCAGCCAGGCCAAUAGACUCAAUUAUUGGCUCUUUGCAAGAGACCUAGUGUUCCUAGCAUUCUGGAAUAUAUUACCUCCAUUUUAAGGAUUUUUUUCAUGUUUCUUUGUUUGUUUCCCCUAGGUUAUAUUUAGUUAUUCCAAUUUUUAUAGACCAAAGUCUGAUGUACUCCAGGAUCCUCUGCUCAAGCUCCAGUCUGUGAUUGACCUCGUGUUCCAACCAGAGCCUAAAGGUAGUUCUGCCACUACAACUACAAACAGUACACUUCCCCCUGUGGCAGCGACCAGAUACUAUCCUCUCGGGGGUGAUCACAACUAAUGGGGUCCCAAUCACUCAACAAUCACAAUCACUAGUGUGUGUUCCUUCUUCACUCCUCCUCUCUUACUGCCAUAGCCCAAGACUGAGCAAGUGUCCAGCCCAAGUUCCUCAUACCUCCAAAGAACCCAUGCAUGCAAAUGCUGAUUUCCACAUACAAAUGGAAUGACCCAG